ACUGGUUCGCCCUGCCCGCCAGGCAGGCGCGUCGCAAGAGGGAACCCGGUGGAAAUCCGGGACUGCCCCGCAGCGGUGAGUGGGAACGACCGCCGUCAUACGCACUGGGCCCGGCCGGGUCUGGGAAGCGACGGCCAGUAGAUGUCCGCCUUCGGCGGACGUGCCCGCGAGUCCGAAGACCUGCCAGU
rfam:Streptomyces decoyicus strain NRRL 2666 P029contig102.1, whole genome shotgun sequence.